UAUAUGUGUUAAAGUCGAUAGAAUUCAUAAGUGCGAGGGUGAUGCAAAAUCACAUGUGCACAAAAGUUUCCAUCACUUUUUAAGAAACAGAUAAUCAAGAUAUAUUAAUUAUAAGGUAGUGUCGUCGGCGAAUUCAGAAAUACGGAGUGAAUUCAUUUUAUUUUUUAUAUACGGAGUUUGACAGCAUGCCUACACUUCAAAGUGCCAGAACACUGUCAAACUACAUAUAAAAAAAUCAAAAGUGUAUUAGCAAAAAACAAUCAGCUGCUCUGUUAACACUACCUUAUAAUUAAUAUACCUUGCAGAUAAUUAGUAACUUUUGAUGAACAUUUUCAUCACUGUGGCAGUCAAAUGACCGGUUAAAUGACUGCCACUGUUCUUAUAGGGAAUGCAUACGUAAAAGCCAGUCAUUUACACUAAUGUGUAACCAUAUGGUUGACAGUACCCUAUGUAAACGAGUGAGGGGACAUAUUGUACUUCAGAAUGUCGAUAUUUUACACAUCUAUUGGAGACACAAUUCUUAUUUAUCACUAAAGUUUAACCAGCUGGUUGUACCCUAUUUGAAUGUUUUUGGUCAUUUGUCACGAAAAUAUUCUUCGUAAUCGAAUGCGAAGACAGUCGCCACUUUAUUGUACACAGGGAGUGGACAGUCGUCAUUACUAUCUCCCGAGUAAACGAAAGAGGGCACACUUGGAACUUUUUUCACGAUCGCGAAAAAAUAAUAUCAUAUUCCUUCAUCUGUUCACGCCCUACAAGCUCUUGCUAUGCAAUUAACUAAUAAUUUACUUACCUCCAAUAAGAUAAUUGAAAAGAAACCCAAAAAAUAAGACGAAAACGAAACAAGUUGAAAUGGUAUCGUGCGAAAGAGACAAAUAUAUUUUUUAGCCGUGACGCCUCUGUAUACUUUGUGCCUGGGCAGUCGGGUGACUAGGGCUACCAUAAGUGGUUGGUUCGGGACUGUCCCGCCGAACUGCUGGCUUUCAAAAACAUAUGGUCGGCUCAUGAAAAAUUUCGGCUUAGCCGUUGAUGGAACAAUUUUUAAAUUAAUUUAUAUUUUUUAUAUUUUAAUAAAAAUUAUGUUUAUUGAUCAAGCAAAU